GAUGAACGCUGGCGGCGUGCCUAAUACAUGCAAGUCGAGCGAACGGACUAGAAGCUUGCUUCUCUGAUGUUAGCGGCGGACGGGUGAGUAACACGUGGAUAACCUACCUAUAAGACUGGGAGAACUUCGUGAAACCUGAGCUAAUACCGGAUGAUAUUUUGAACCGCAUGGUUCAAAAGUGAAAGACGGUCUGUCUGUCACUUAGUGAUGGAUCCGCGCUGCAUUAGCUAGUUGGUAAGGUAACGGCUUACCAAGGCAACGAUGCAUAGCCGCCCUGAGAGGGGGAUCGGCCACACUGGAACUGAGACACGGUCCCGACUCCUACGGGAGGCCGCAGUAGGGAAUCUUACGCAAUGGGCGAAAGCCUAACGGAGCAACGCCGCGUGAGUGAUGAAGGUCUUCGGAUCGUAAAACUCUGUUAUUAGGGAAGAACAUAUGUGUAAGUAACUGUGCACAUCUUGACGGUACCUAAUCAGAAAGCCACGGCUAACUACGUG
rnacentral:rRNA from 1 species